GCCGGGCGUGGUGGCGCGCAUCUGUAUUUCCAGCUACUCGGGAGGCUUAGGCGGGAGGAUCGCUUGAGCCCAGGAGGUCGAGGCUGCAGUGAGCCAUGAUCACGCCACUGCACUCCAGCCUGGGUGACAGAGUGAGACCCUGUCUAAA
rnacentral:SRP_RNA from 2 species